AUGAAAGGGAAUACUGUACAGUGGCGUUUAACAGGCUUUUAUGGGCACCCCAACUGGAGUGACCGUGCUUUUUCAUGGGAUGAUAUUCGAAAUUUGUAUGAGAAGGGCGAUCACCCAUGGGUAGUUUUAGGAGAUUUUAAUGAAAUUUUGUUAUCAUCAGAGAAAGAGGGAGGGAAUGUGAGACCAAAUGUGAUGAUGAGAGAUUUUCGUAAUUGUCUGGGAGAUUGUGGACUAGCAGAUAUGGGCUGUAUGGGUGACUUAUUUACAUGGAGGAGGGGCGAAAUCAGGGAAAGACUAGAUCGAGCGGUCUGUAAUGUGGAUUGGGCGAAUAAAUUCCCUCGAGCGGCGGUUAUUAACGAAGAACAUGUACACUCAAACCAUCGCCCUAUUAUUUUAGACACGGAAUAUUUUGAC
rnacentral:rRNA from 1 species